UAGGGAAUCUUCCGCAAUGGGCGAAAGCCUGACGGAGCAACGCCGCGUGAGUGAUGAAGGUCUUCGGAUCGUAAAACUCUGUUAUUAGGGAAGAACAAAUGUGUAAGUAACUAUGCACGCCUUGACGGUACCUAAUCAGAAAGCCACGGCUAACUACGUGCCAGCAGCCGCGGUAAUACGUAGGUGGCAAGCGUUAUCCGGAAUUAUUGGGCGUAAAGCGCGCGUAGGCGGUUUUUUAAGUCUGAUGUGAAAGUCCACGGCUCAACCGUGGGAGGUCAUUGGAAACUGGGAAACUUGAGUGCAGAAGAGGAAAGUGGAAUUCCAUGUGUAGCGGUGAAAUGCGCAGAGAUAUGGAGGAACACCAGUGGCCAAGGCGAGUUUCUGGUCUGUAACUGACGCUGAUGUGCGAAAGCGUGGGGAUCAAACAGG
rnacentral:rRNA from 1 species